rnacentral:rRNA from 1 species
AUUGAACGCUGGCGGCAGGACUAACACAUGCAAGUCGAGCGGAGGGACGGUCGGGUAAGUGAUGACUAGGAAUGGGACUGGUAGUGGGGGAUAAAGUCCGGAAACGGGAGCGAAAACCGCAUACUCUCAGCUGAGCCUAGGUCGGAUUAGCUAGUUGGUGGGGUAAAGGCCUACCAAGGCGACGAUCCGUAACUGGUCUGAGAGGAUGAUCAGUCACACUGGAACUGAGACACGGUCCAGACUCCUACGGGAGGCAGCAGUGGGGAAUAUUGGACAAUGGGCGCAAGCCUGAUGCAGCCAUGCCGCGUGUGUGAAGAAGGUCUUCGGAUUGUAAAGCACUUUAAGUUGGGAGGCGUUACCAACAGAAUAAGCACCGGCUAACUUCGUGCCAGCCGCCGCUGUAAUAC